CCCCACCGCACUUUUGGCUCCCGAUAACCGGGAGAAGGCCGGGGCGGCCCCGCUCGCUUCCUCCCCCGGCGGCAGCGCCGCCUUCCUUACCCGUGGACGCCAUUACAUUAGAUUAGAAAGAGCUGAUUGAGUACCUUAAAGUCAAUGAACAGCCCCAUCUCCUGCACUCCUUCCAAGCACAGAUUUCACGGACUUCCAAGACCUCUCCAAAAUUGAUAGGGUGGAAUUCUGACCCAAAGCAAGGAAUUCAGUGGCUGGAGAAAACACAGGGCGGUGGCACAGAGAGGAGAGAGGAAGGGAAGAGUGGAGCAGCCCCCUGAAACAAGUGCCAUGAGUGGAUAAAAGGGGAGAAAGAACCGACCCCGAGAGCUGCAGCAAAGAAAAACAUUUAAGAAAUGCACUGCGGCCGCCGGGAACACCUAAGACUCGAGCCAGGAUGACGUGCUGCAGGCAGCCGGACUCCUCAAACUCCUCCGAUGUGAGACUAUCAGCACGACGGGUAGCUAUGUUUAUUGUAGUAGUGUGUGUGUGUGUGUGUGUGUGUGUGUGUGUGUGUGUGUGUGUGUGUGUGUGUUUGCAUGUGUACACAUUUACCUCUUUUAAUUAGACUAAGCAUGGAAUAAAGCUUUCCCCUAUA